rnacentral:rRNA from 1 species
GACGAACGCUGGCGGCGUGCCUAAUACAUGCAAGUAGAACGCUGAAGGAGGAGCUUGCUUCUCUGGAUGAGUUGCGAACGGGUGAGUAACGCGUAGGUAACCUGCCUGGUAGCGGGGGAUAACUAUUGGAAACGAUAGCUAAUACCGCAUAAUAGCAGUUAUUGCAUGAUAACUGUUUGAAAGGUGCAAUUGCACCACUACCAGAUGGACCUGCGUUGUAUUAGCUAGUUGGUGGGGUAACGGCUCACCAAGGCGACGAUACAUAGCCGACCUGAGAGGGUGAUCGGCCACACUGGGACUGAGACACGGCCCAGACUCCUACGGGAGGCAGCAGUAGGGAAUCUUCGGCAAAGGACGGAAGUCUGACCGAGCAACGCCGCGUGAGUGAAGAAGGUUUUCGGAUCGUAAAGCUCUGUUGUAAGAGAAGAACGAGUGUGAGAGUGGAAAGUUCACACUGUGACGGUAUCUUACCAGAAAGGGACGGCUAACUACGU